UACGUAGGGAGCAAGCGUUGUCCGGAAUCAUUGGGCGUAAAGCGCGCGUAGGCGGCCCUGUAAGUCCGUUGUGAAAGUCAAAGGCUCAACCUUUGAAAGCCGAUGGAUACUGCAGGGCUAGAGUCCGGAAGAGGCGAAGUGGAAUUCCUGGUGUAGCGGUGGAAUGCGCAGAUAUCAGGAGGAACACCAAUAGCGAAGGCAGCUCGCUGGGACGGUACUGACGCUGAGACGCGAAAGCGUGGGGAGCGAACAGG
rnacentral:rRNA from 1 species